CAGGGCCCACCGGGGAAGUGAGAAGGCGGGGUCUUUGGGCUUGUUUUUUCCUGUGCUGGCGGUGGUGAGAAAGAGGUGAGGGUCGGGAAGAGUGAGUCCUUAAGCGGGAACAAUGGAGUUAAGGUUGAGCGAUCGCCCCACACCUGUCUCACCGAGGGGCCCGGACAGGUCGUCGGGCAAGCUUUCCUCCUUGUGGGCUUGACACUCUCUCCAGGACUUUAUUGAAAGUCUGACAAGAUUGGAUAGAGAUGAGGGAAGUGGACGCUUGGGAGCGAACACUGGCAUGUCCGGUUUUAAGGCGAAUGGCAAGAGGAGAGGCCGGAGCUGCCUGGGGCAGGAAGUGACCAUGCCAGUGCGGUGGUGAGGGCGCUCCCAGGGUGCCCAAGGAGUCCUGGGUCUAAAGUGCUCCCUCUGCUAAAUAUUUCCUCCCCCUGGAUUCCGUUUCAUAUAUUUUUCUUCUAUUUAUUAAUAAGUUUAUUCUCCGAAAACAGUUUAUUGUGUGUGUGUUUCCUAACUACUUUGAAUAACUCUAGAUAUAUUGGGUUUACUUUCUGGUUUCAAAACCUAGUUUUUAUCUGCCUAAGAUUUAAUGAAGAAACUUGUAGAAACUUCAGAACAAUUCAUUUUAUGGUAGGCUGAAGCUUUGGGGUAGCAACUUCCAAAAUUUUUGUUUGUUCCAAAGAUUAUUUUGAUUUUUAAUUCUUUUAGAAGACACUUUUCAGGGGCAGUUUUUUGCUUAGCCUAAGGAGAAGGGCGGUGGCGUAAGCAAUCUUUGUCUGAUAAUACUGUAAGCAGUGUGUACAUGACAGCGAGCUCUACGUAUCUGAAUGUACUAAAAGGAACCCCACUUUGAACACUAAAACUUGUUGGUUCAUUAGCUUGUCUUCUAGAGUGGGAGAAAGACUUUAUUUUUCCGCUAUACUGUCAAAACUUUUCAAAAGCAAACUCCUGUAAUUUAUUCAGGUUUAAAAAGAGGUAGCGCAUGCACAUUGGUUUUCACUUCACUUUGCUGUCAGUUCAGCUUGUUUACAAUUCAUAAAACAAUUGUUCAUUCAUUCAAAAAGAUAAAAUACUUUUCAAAGUUUCUCAGAUUUCCUUUAUGAAGAGGACACUUAUUUUAGGAGGACAAACAUACUGUUUAAGAUUUAAGUAGCUAAAAACUGGCAGUAUGAAAGAAGAUCUGAAGGCAAAGGAAGACUUUGGACCGUGAUGAAUUUCCUACCUGUUCUUUUUAAUGAGUACAUGAUUGUGUCACUACAAAUGUAGUAUAUUAGUCUUUACUGAAGAUUUAUUGUAAAUGAUUUUCUAUUUUUUACUUCUUUAAAUCCUUUGCCAUGGCUAAAAAUGUCAAAUGGAGAAAAAAAGUAAAAGCAUGUCAUAAGGGCUUUCCUAUAUCACCUGUAUUAGGGAGGCAUUUCCCCCUUUGCCAAGUGAUUGAAAGAAAAUAUAGACAAGUAUUUAAUUUUUUGCAUUUGUGCAGGAGAUAGAAGUCAUGGUUUGUCAUCAUUCUUUUUGUUAACUGUUUUUUUGCUUAUGUUUGCUAUUCUUAUUUUGCAUUUUAACUUUAGGAUAUUCAGUUUUCCUUGAUUAAAAACACUUUAGUCACAAGUUCCACCUGCAUGGUAACUCUUCAAAGACAGCAUAAACAUAUGAGGGAUAUGUGCAUGAACAGGGAAAGAUGAUUUGGAAAUUUGAUCAUUCUUCCAUUUGUCUGGCUUUCUGAGUGAUUUACAGCAUAAAAAUAGGUAAUUUUAAAGGAGUCUGCAUUUCCAUGUAUUGGCAUUACCAGUAAUUCUCUGUUCCAAAUUACAUUAAUGUGUUUCUUUUUUCUUCAUAAAACUUAGAUAAAGUUCAGGCUUUCUUGAGUCAGUGACUUUUUAAAUUUCAAAUAUUUAAUUUAUUAUAUAUUAUUUUUAACUUGCUA